GCUUUUCCGGUUCCCUACUCUAUUCAGUGUCAGCCUUUAGAAACUUUCAUGAGAAAUCUUCUGUGUUUAAAGUCCCCAAGUGUGUUCUCUGAGAUAUGCUCCUGUCCUUGCUCCAGCUGGAGAAUCACCUCUCGUUUAGGAGUGAGGUGCCCUGCCCUGUGAUCAUUUUCCACUGGUGUUUGAAGAACACAAAAUACUGUGAGACUAUGGUUGUGUGGGUCUCCCGCUUACCACAUCAGGCUUAGCUUACCUCCACAGCUAUGGCUGCUGUGCUGAAGGUGAAGGUGCUGCCCUCCCAGGUCCUAUGCUUUGUCCCUGCCCAGGAGAGUCCACUUCAGCCUGCAGAGUAACGCCUGGCCUGGAUCCUGGCAUCGUGCACGUGUGGGCAACAUCAUGCAGAAACAUUCUGGGAGAGCAACACUGCCCUGUAUCCAGCCUGAUUCUACACCCACUGACUAUAAGGCAGGUUGCAGAUUGUGACAAAAUGAGGGGAAUCUCUCAUGGUUACAGAUUGGAUUAGUCACAAAGUUACCAAAUCAAGAAUUCCAGGUAAAGUGUUUCAGCCUUCACCUGAAGAUCAUGAAGAGUGUGGUGGGGAUCCACAGCACCUUCAUAAACUGCACGUUGUUACCAGAAUGAAAAGUACGAUAAG